CUGACCCGCCAAGAUGGCGCUGCCGGCCCCGGGGCCCCCCCGGCCCCUCCCCAGCCCGGGGGUCCCGAUCCCCUCCCUGGGGACCUGGGGGUCCCACAGCCCAGCCCCGCUUUCCCUGGAGCUGUAACCCCAGGACGGACCUGGGGCCUGCGGGGGGUUCCUGCCCGACCCCCUGUGCCCGGGCCCUCCUGGCUGCCUCGGCCUCGAGCCGAGAGCCUCGCCAGGAGAUUCCUGCAGAGGAACCUUCAGCAGAGGACACCUCUGCAUCUCACCUGUGCCAACGGGCCAUGUGGGGUUGGUAAGAUUUCUGGUGGGAGAGAACUGCCAGGUGGACCUCUCUGACAACUGGAGGAGAUCGCCCCUGAUGAAGGCAGUGCAGAGCCAGCAGGAAGAGUGUGUGGCUGUUCUGCUGGAGCAGGAAGCCAGCUUGACUCUGGCAGACUGUGAUGGCAACACGGCCCGUCACCUGGCUGUCCUGUCUCCUGCUCUCAAUAUAGUGGGGCUGUUACCCCAGCAUCAUGCCACUACUGAUGCCAAGAAAAAGGAGGGAUGUACCCGACGGGUGCUGGCUGUGACCAUCAUGAAGAGGUGGCAGAGUUUCUCCUUCUCAGAGGAGCUGAUGUGCAUACUCGAGACACAGCUUAAAGGAGCAAUUGUUUUGAAGAUGCCUUCUUUCCUGCUGCCCUGUGUUGAACUAGCUGCCCCAGAUUUCAUGGUGAUAACCUGUAGAGUUGUCCAUGUGACACAUUGGUCUGCACUCGUUGAUUUUUAGCCUGCCACAUCUAAUGUCAAGGUGUCAUUUCAUGUCUGAACAGCCACAGGUGACUCAUCAGAAGGAGACUCAAUAAGGUGAUAAAACCCUCAGAGAGAAAGGAAAAGGGCAUUUCCUGCUCAAGAUCUACUGAAAUCCUUCAUCAGCUGGUUUUCUUUUCCUCCCUGUCAGGUGACUCAGGAGCUCUCAGUGGAUGAGUGACUCCAGUGGGUUCUUUUCUCUGGAGUGCCAUUCCAUGCUUGCUUGUUGCUUUCCCCGCCCUUGUUCCCUCUUUGGAAUGUGGGGCAGUGUCCUUGUCAGGGGAUGGAGGAGCUGCCGGAGAGAGGGCAGAGCAGCCAGGAGCUGAGGGGAGAGGGAUGAGGGACAGGGAUGCACGGGCCUGGGGAUCAACGGGGAUGGACAGACAGAGUCCUCCCUGGACACCAGCCAUGGAAGGGGCUUGACUUCCAUGAUCCCCGACCUUACACUGAGCACAUGUGGAUACAUGGAGUGGAAUACUUGGGUCAAUUUGCUGUCCAUCUGGUCCUCCUCCCUGGGUGGGGGGCUGCAGAUAUGACCCUUCCAUGAGCCUGGAAGUGAACUUAGCUGCAGCAGAUAUUCAUGGGACAAUUCAGGGUAGAAUUGUCCUUUGCUCAGGAGGUCUCUUUUCUACCUUUGGUUCCAAGUAGAGACAGCUCUGAGGUUGAGCAAGUUGCUCAGUGCGUGUCAGCAUGCCUGUGCAGAGUCUGCACACGAGAGCCAGACGUUGAAGCCACCAUUACAGAAAUGGAGACAAGGCAUUUGACCAGCUUCUUGGCCCUGGAACAGGUAGGCCAUGUCUCCUGAAACUGCCACAAGCACCUAAGCUUUUGUCCGCAGCAGUGUGGCUCCUCUGUAGGUGUCCUGCUGGUCUCCUGCCCCAUGUUGGUCCUUAGGCUGUGAAGAGAAUCAACACCAACCUUUUCACUAGCUUACAUUUACUUUCCAUGCUGAAAUGCAGGGUGGAUCAAGGGAGCUCUGAUCUUCCAGGCUCCCUGCUGCACAGUGAGGGAUUUGGAGAAGGAAAAUGCAGGUCAUCUUCUUGUGUCAGUGCACACCACAUCAACAUUUUACCUUCUUUUGUGCCUUUUCACAAACCUGGGAUCUGUCUAUUGGCUGCCUUUGGUUCAAGAAGACAGUACUUCCUAUUCCACCUCUCCCUCCUCCAAAAAGCAGGGAAAUAAAAUGUGCAGCAUGGAUGACUUAAGGACAA